AAGAGUGAUGUGACAAAUGAUUUAAUAGUCAUAUUGUUAUAGCCUUUUGUGUUUGCUGAUGAGGAUUAUUAUUAUUUUAAAAAAAAAUAGAGAACCUAUUUUUCACACCUCACUUGUUUGCAAGAGCAUAAACACCGUUAACUUCUCUUGUGGACUAUGUGAACGGAGUUUGAAGAUUGAACGGUGUAGUAUGGGUGCCUCAAUGGCGUUUGUUUGACCAUUGAGAGGCGUUUCGGUCCUUGGAGGAAGAUCCGUGUUGAAGCUUUCGUUUAUGGACUUCAACAACGUUUCUUCAACGAUGUUAUACAACAUGGAUUGGACAAGAGAAGAAUUCAUGGUUGUAAUGCACCACAUGGGAAAGUUCAAGUUUGAGCCAUCCUUGCAUUAUGCUGAUGUUAAAAAGGAUACUUUCCAUGGCCUGAACAUUGAUACAUGGUCAUUCUUUGAAGGUGUGGGAUUGCUGAAGGGUUUAGUCUAUGAUGGUAAAAUGAAAUUUUGGUGGAAAGCAGAGGAUGCACAAUUUGAAGGGAACCUGAAACCAUUUAUGAAUGACAAUGAUGCAUUGAAAUUGCCCAAGUUUGCAUUGUUGAAUAAGUGUAAAGUAGGGAUUUAUGUUGAACACACUGUGUCAAUUGCUGAAAUUGUAGAGCAAGUUGAUGAUGACACAGUUAACGUGUGUGGGAAGGAACAACUUGGUAGUGAGGAUGGUCACUUUCUGAAUGUUGGUGAGUCUGAAAACGUUGAUGGUGUUGGUCAGUCUAAACAAAAUAGUAGCAGGGAUGUUUGUAGUGGCGAACUGGCGAUCAGCCAAAUGAUGAAGAUAGCGAUGACCAUUUUUCACAAGAUGCAGGUGCAGUGGCAGUGGCAUUGGCUUUGACAGUCAUGUCACAUUUGGUUCUGCAUUCCGGUUUGAGUUAGUUGUGGAUGAUGAAAUGCACAUGCACCAAAUUGAGGAAGACUAUUUUAGUGAGGAACUAGUUAGUGACAUUGAAGACAGUGAUGUUGAGGGAAAUGUAAUACCCAAAGUAACUCCAUAUACUUUUAAGAAGGAGGAAUUGUGUAAACAAUUCAAGUUUAAGAAAGGUAUAGAUUUUUCAUCCAUGAAAGAAUUCAAGAAAGCAUUUUUGGAACAUGCAGUGUUGAAUGGUAGACAACUAAAAAUUUUCAAGAAUGAUUCAUUAAGAGUAAGGAUGAGAUGUAAACAAGAGGGAUGCACAUUUAUCAUACUGUGUAGCAAGGUGACAAACAAGCAAACUUGUAGGGUUCAAACUUUAGUGGAUGGACAUAGGUGUGGCAGAGUGUUUGACAAAAAAAUCUGGGUCCAAAUGGGUAGCAAAGGUUGUCAGAGAUAAAUUCAAGAUAACAUUAGAAGGAAUUUCUGUGUUGGUAUUUCUCAGGCUUGGGCAGAUUGGGCUAGAAAAUUGGCUAUUGAAGAUGUUGAAAGGGAUGCCACUAAGCAAUACUCCUUGUUAAAUUCAUAUGUUGCUGUGUUAUGUUGAAAAAAAAAAGGAAACACUUGUAAGAUAGAGUUACUCAGACCUUCCCUUGAUGUGCAACCAAGAUUUGGAGCAUUUUAUAUGUGCUUGGACGGGUGUAAAAGAAGUUUUUUGGCUGCUUGUAGACCAUUCAUAAGGGUAGAUGGAUGCCAUCUAAAGACCCCUUAUGGAGGCAUAUUGCUGGCUGCAGUGGGCAGAGAUGGAAGAUCAAUAUUUCCCCUUGGCAUAGGCUAUAGUUGAGUUUGAGGCAAAGGAAAGUUGGAAAUGGUUCCUAACUUUACUAUUUCAAGACAUUGGGGAUGUGAGGACAUAUAAGUGGGUCUUCAUGUCAGACCGACAAAAGGGCCUGAACUUAGUUUUUGAUGAAUUGUUGGGAGAUGUAGAGCACGGGGUGUGUGAGAGACAUAUUUAUAAUAAUUUCAAAAAUAAGUUUGUUGGUGGAACCUUGCUAAGAAAUUUGAUGAUGAGGGCUGCUAAGGCUAGCUUUGAGGAGGCAUGGGAUGAGAAGAUGAACAUAUCAAAGAGGUGAAUAAUGAAGCCUAUGACUGGUUAAUUAAGGUAUUCUUUGCAGACAUGCUUGUGCUGCCAUUCAAGACAACAGUCAAGAACCAGAAGACUAUGUUGACAAGUAUUAUCUAAAGGAUACUUACAUGAAAUGCUAUGAGCAUGCAAUUACAGCAAUUAAUGGUCCUAUCAAUUGGCCUGAGACUCCUGCUGAAAGCAUACUACCCCCUGAAUAUAAACAAGGUGUGGGAAGACCCAAGAAAUUAAGGAGAAGGGAGCCAGAUGAAGAACCUAGUGCUACCAAAUAUAGAAGGACAUGUACAAAGAAAAAAUGUGGUAGAUGCAGGGAAGUUGGUCACAAUGUUGGGAAAUGCCCUGUACCACCCCCUUAACCUGAGACUGUUGAUGAAUUUGUUGAAGUCAAUGAGGCAGUCAUUGAUUCUGUGACUCCAAAUGAAAAUCCAGUUGGUGCCACUGUCAAUGUUGAUGCUACAAAUCCACAAUUUGAUAAUGAAGUAGAUGGUGAUGGCACAACAGUUAAUUUGACAGGAUCUGGGAUUAAUGAGAGCAAUAGAAUGAAUCAAGUGCGCCAAACUGCUCAAUUAAAACAGGAACAACAUGUUGAAUCUGCAAAAGUGACUAAGCCAAGUAAAAAAGAGGAAGGGAUGUGGGAUGCCUCAAUCAAAUCUUGUUGGUGUUCCAAAAGUAUUAACUUCUGAUGCUGUGAAAAAACCAACAUCUACUGGUGCUGCUCAAAACCACCUACUGCUAUUGGUCCAACUACACCUUCUGCAAGUGUUAAAAAACAGCUUCUGUUGUUGUUGUUGUUCCAAAACAAGCUACUGCUAGUGCUGCUCUGAAACCAGCUAUUGUUGGUGCUCCAAAAAUUCUUAAACCACCAACUACACGUGUUUCCAAAAGUGCACCCUCUACUGCUGCUGGUGUGGGAUCUCAUGACCAAAAUACAAAAGGAAAGGGAAAGAAAAACCACCCUUUAAUCCCAACCAUUGGUAAGAAAAUACAAGCUUAUACUGUUGCUCAAUGUGUGGUUGCUGCUACAAAUCACAAGGUUAAGCAACUUCAACAAAUCAACAAAAAACAAAGCAGCAACAACAGUAAGUAUUCCCAUCAACACGUGGGAUCAUCCACAAAAAAAGUAGAAGGCCAAGGCUAUGUGCCAUUUGGGAACACUCAGAGUAGCCACGUGUUAAAUGAAGGACAACAUAGUGGAAUCUAGGGCUUAUUGGGGCAAACAAUGUUUUUUGAAAGAAGGGAACUUGUACAAUUUUUUUUAUUGUGGGGGAAUAGGUUGCCCGUGACACCAUGUAAAUGGAUGGACAAUAUGUUUUGACAUUAUUUAGCCUUUACAAUAACUUUUUUUUUUUUUCUGUAUGUGGCCUUUGUUUGUUAUCUUAUGUGGCCAUUAUAUUUACCUUUUAAUUUGGGAAGUGACCUUUGUGGCAAAUUUCCCUGUUUGGGGCGCUUUUAUAAACUAUUUUUUCAGAUGGGGUCA